AUCAUAGUUAUUUAAAAAAAAAACGCCUUUUUUAUUUUCGUUGGACACUUGUUUAUUAUAAAUAUUGUAAUUAGAUUUGAGCAAAACGUUUUCACUUGACAGUUAAGAUUCGUCUCAUCGGGUAAGGUGUUCGGAAGGCAAGAGAGAGAGAUGGGGAAAACUGUCCAAAUUCCAGGAAAGCAUCCAGACAUACCCCUGCUGCAGAGGAUGGAGGUUGAUGUCACUGAGGACCUUCAGGAGGUGAAGAGCCAGCAAGCCACGCUUUUUGCCUCGGAGACCUCCAAGAUAAUCUUCUGGUCCAGGGUCUGCACCGUGGAGCAGGAUGAGCUGUGCUCCUAGAAGGUGCACAAGGAGAGCUCUGUGCUCAGCAGCCUGAAGGAUGAAGACAGCUUGGUAACAUCAUCUCAGCCUGACAUCAGCAAAUCCUUUUUGCCAGACUGUAUGACACGAGGCACACUGAUAGCAUGGCCUCCCAGUCCUCUAUCAUUGAGGUCUUAAAGGACAGCACAUAGGAGAGGCUGGACCAGCCGCUAUCUCUAGAUGAGCUGACCAGUGCCCUUGAGUCCUUUUGAAAAGAAUAAAAUUUCCAGUAGCAACGGUU